UGGCUCAGUGGGUAGAGCAUGUGACUCUUGAUCUCAGGUUUGUGAGUUCAAGCCCCAC
rnacentral:tRNA from 1 species